CCCAGUGAAGAUUACACGGAACUCUGCUCGCAUUUGUUCAGGGAGGGUGGAUGCACUUCACUGUGUGACCACAUGAUCUGAAUUUUUACUUUGAGGAAAUGAGAGUGUUCCAAGCAGGCAAUUGCCGUGAAUAUGAUAGCAUGGAAUAAUAGCACAGGACUCUUGGUUCAAUGCUGUUGGUUUGUUGAACUAGAGUAAUCACAAUAAGGAUAGUUGGGGGUAUUCGUAUUUAACUGUCAGAGGUGAAAUUCUUGGAUUUUUUAAAGGCGAACAAUUGCGAAGGCAUCUACCCAGGAUGUUUUUGUUGAUCAAGAACGAAAGUUAGGGGAUCGAAGACGAUCAGAUACCGUCCUAGUCUUAACCUUAAACUAUGCCGGCUGGAGAUUGGAGUCGUCAGAUUUGUGACGUCUUCAGCAUCCUAUGAGAAAUCUAAGUCUUUGGGUUCCGGGGGGAGUAUGGUCGCAAGGCUGAAACUUAAAGGAAUUGACGGAAGGGCACCACCAGGAGU
rnacentral:rRNA from 1 species